rnacentral:rRNA from 1 species
ACGGAAGGCAGCAGUGGGGAAUAUUGCACAAUGGGGGAAACCCUGAUGCAGCGACGCCGCGUGAAGGAAGAAGUAUCUCGGUAUGUAAACUUCUAUCAGCAGGGAAGAUAGUGACGGUACCUGACUAAGAGGCCCCGGCUAACUACGUGCCAGCAGCCGCGGUAAUACGUAGGGGGCAAGCGUUAUCCGGAUUUACUGGGUGUAAAGGGAGCGUAGACGGUGUGGCAAGUCUGAUGUGAAAGGCAUGGGCUCAACCUGUGGACUGCAUUGGAAAUUGUCAUACUUGAGUGCCGGAGGGGUAAGCGGAAUUCCUAGUGUAGCGGUGAAAUGCGUAGAUAUUAGGAGGAACACCAGUGGCGAAGGCGGCUUACUGGACGGUAACUGACGUUGAGGCUCGAAAGCGUGGGGAGCAAACAGGAUUAGAUACCCUGGUA